rnacentral:rRNA from 1 species
UACGGGGGGAGCAAGCGUUGUUCGGAUUUACUGGGCGUAAAGGGCGCGUAGGCGGCCUCUGCAAGUCGACUGUGAAAUCUCCGGGCUUAACCCGGAAAGGUCAGCCGAUACUGCAGGGCUAGAGUGCAGAAGGGGCAACUGGAAUUCUCGGUGUAGCGGUGAAAUGCGUAGAUAUCGAGAGGAACACCUGCGGCGAAGGCGGGUUGCUGGGCUGACACUGACGCUGAUGCGCGAAAGCGUGGGGAGCAAACAGG